rnacentral:misc_RNA from 1 species
AUCCCUUGGGAAUAGUGUACCCAGCAUAUGUAAAAUCAGUCAAGGCCUCUCUGAAAGUUCCUUGGAGUGGAGGUGUGAGCCUCAUCACCUCAUGCAAUACGUUCCAGGAGUAUUUCAUCUUCUGAAUGUCCCCCCACUCCAGCAGCUUACCUGCCUCUUUAGCUGCUGAAACCUCCUUUUGCUCAGCUAGGACCUUAGCAUAAAUGUCAGGCCUCUCUCCUACAUAUUUCAUGAAGAAAGUCAUUGCAGUAGCCACUGUACUGUAUCCUGCAACUAGCAAACCCAUAAUCUUGUCAGCAAUCUCUGCCUCUGGCAUGUGUUUACCGGAAGGGUCAGUGGCCACAAUCAUGUGGGAAAGUAUGUCCUGCAUCGGAGCUCCUGUGGC